GUAAUAUAUAUAAAAAACACUAUUAACCCUAAAAAUGAAAACGCAGUGCAACUUCAAACAUUACCGCCUAAACCACCAUAUACCAAUUUGAAACGCUUUUUUAAUUUCCAAAUCUCAAACCAAAACCGUUCCCAUUUCACAACACAAAGAAAUGAAUUCGAAUUCGAAGAACGCAGGCUCUUCCUUAGAUUCCUUAAUCUCUUCUUUCAACGCUCGCAUUUUACAGCUUCAAGAACUCACCAUUGCAAGAAACAUGUACCCAGCGAGUAGUAUUGCAGAUCUUUCGGCUGUUGAUGCUGCUGUGAGUGCUAUGGAGCUUCAAGUGCAAUCGAUUAAGGAUCGGUUUCGCGAUGAGAUUGAAGCUAUUCCCAAAACCAAGAAACUACUCGAUGCAUCCCUGCAGCAGCAAAAGAAACUGCAGAAUAUGUUUCAUCACAUUCCCUCCCAAAUGCCUGAUAGAACGACACUGUCAAAUUCCGAAAUUAGUAGAUCUUUGUUUGCCGAAUUUUCUAGGCAAGACUCUGAAUCGUAUGAGGCUUUGAAACACGUGGAGCCUGUUGCUUUACCUAAGGAGAAAAAAGGCCGUGGUUAUGCACCAACUUGGUAUGUCACUGGAAGUGAAAUGGAUUCCUUGUCAUCAUAUAUGAGGGGUAGGCUUACUCUAGAGAAGGUGAAUGCUGCAAUCACAGAUAUGGCCUCUUAUGCCGAAGCAAAUGCUCAACUUAUCGUAGCCCCCAAAAAGAAGUUGGCAGAAAAUCUUUGGGAAAAAGCUCUGGAAAUAAGAGAUAUUGGAGGAACGGAAGGGAUUAAAGGAAAACACUUUUUUCUAGAAACUGAUAUUAAAGGCCCAUCACUUAAACUUGACAACACUGGAAAGGCAAUAUUGACAUUAUACUGGAUGACAAAGAACAUUACAAUUUCCAUGUGUCCUUUUCCCGUUAACAUACUGUGGGAUGGUUGAAGGAAAAUCAUAUGAGGCGUCAAGAGUCCUCACUUAUAAGUCGGUUUUGUAAGGGUUUAGUUAAGCUCAACCCUAUGAUAGUUCCAUAGCCUAUCCCAAGAUUCACUUGGCCACCUACUAUCGGGUCACUCGAGUCACGCUCCUCGAUAUGUCCAGUUCUAGGCUUGAUGGGUGUGAGUUAAGAUCUCAGAUUGGAUGUGAUAAGGUCUGAAAAUGUGUUUAAAAACGAGGGCAGUCCAUACUAUGUAACCCAGAAGGUUCUUCGACACCUUGGCCGCAUUAACGAGACUCGCGUUGGACAUCAUCGGGUUUUCAUUCUACAGAAGCCUCACUAGAAAGAAUGUUAAUAUUGAUCUUAUUGCAAUGCAUAAAUGGUCGAGAUUAUUAUAUACUUUAAUUUUGACCAUUCAUUUGUAUUGUAUGUUCAAGAUUUAUUAUUAUUAUUAUUAUUUUUUUGUGGAAGUUUGCUAUCACUUGAUAUCUUCAAAACGUGAAAAUGUGUGUAUUCAUGUAUAUACAUAUGAAUGCAAAGAAGAAAUUUAAGAGUAGAUUUUAGGUUUUUCUAAUAAUUUAGAUGAUCAACUCAUUACAACUUUUAUGUUUCGGGCUGUUAUCUUUUGUGCGUACAUUGUUGGCAGUGACUGCAGGGAAGUAGUAUAUAUGGUUUGUUAA